UUGACUGCAUAACAGUAGAAUUUUAAACAACAGUGCUAUAACAGACUACUGCUUCCUAGUGCUGUGACUGGGGUUUUAAGGUGAUGAGAACCCUGGAUGAUGAGAAUACCAUUGAGAACACAGCAUUCUGAGAAAGAAUGUGGGCAAUGUACAGGUUCUAGACAUGACCUGAAUAGAUGCAGAGAAUUUACUACUUAGUGAGACACUGAGAGCAGUGGAGAGCCCAGGCCUGAGAGGUACCUUUCCUGGAUCUGAGGUGUCUGCUACAGCAAGUCCUUGGUGAAGCUAUAAAAGAUCCAGGAAUAUGUUCCUUAAGGAAAGGUGGAAUUCCAUCCAUAACAAAGGACAAGAUAAGAGGAGCUUGAAUCUUAUGACAGAGAAGAAAACAGAGUUGAAAUGCAUACAUGAUUUGACACUGUGAGAGGAAAGCUACAGAGAUAGUGGAGCAUCCACAUUCAAAAAAAGAUCUACAGCCAAGUUGAGCAAGUGCUGAGGAACAACCUAACAAGCUUGUAGAGAUGCUAAGAAUUAAGAAGGGCCAGCUUCAGUGUCCUGCUUAGGAAUGAGCUAAAUAAAAUGUACUGGAUUUGAAA